rnacentral:rRNA from 1 species
UACGUAGGGUGCGAGCGUUAAUCGGAAUUACUGGGCGUAAAGCGUGCGCAGGCGGUUUCUUAAGCCAGAUGUGAAAGCCCCGGGCUUAACCUGGGAAUUGCGUUUGGAACUGGGAGACUAGAGUGUGGCAGAGGGAGGUAGAAUUCCACGUGUAGCAGUGAAAUGCGUAGAGAUGUGGAGGAAUACCGAUGGCGAAGGCAGCCUCCUGGGCCAACACUGACGCUCAUGCACGAAAGCGUGGGGAGCAAAC